AUUGAACGCUGGCGGCAUGCCUUACACAUGCAAGUCGAACGGCAGCACGGGAGCAAUCCUGGUGGCGAGUGGCGAACGGGUGAAUAAAGCAUCGGAACGUGCCCAGCCGUGGGGGAUAACGUAGCGAAAGCUACGCUAAUACCGCAUACGAUCUGUGGAUGAAAGCGGGGACCGUAAGGCCUCGCGCGAUUGGAGCGGCCGAUGUCAGAUUAGGUAGUUGGUGAGGUAAAGGCUCACCAAGCCGACGAUCUGUAGCUGGUCUGAGAGGACGACCAGCCACACUGGGACUUAGACACGGCCCAGACUCCUACGGGAGGCAGCAGUGGGGAAUUUUGGACAAUGGGCGCAAGCCUGAUCCAGCAAUGCCGCGUGCAGGAUGAAGGCCUUCGGGUUGUAAACUGCUUUUGUACGGAGCGAAACGGCUUCCACUAAUACUGGGGGCUAAUGACGGUACCGUAAGAAUAAGCACCGGCUAACUACGUGCCAGCCGCCGCCGUAA
rnacentral:rRNA from 1 species